rnacentral:rRNA from 1 species
ACUCCUACGGGAGGCAGCAGUGGGAAUAUUGCACAAUGGGCGAAAGCCUGAUGCAGCGACGCCGCGUGAGGGAUGAAGGCCUUCGGGUUGUAAACCUCUUUCAGUAGGGAAGAAGCGCAAGUGACGGUACCUACAGAAGAAGCACCGGCUAACUACGUGCCAGCAGCCGCGGUAAUACGUAGGGUGCGAGCGUUGUCCGGAAUUAUUGGGCGUAAAGAGCUUGUAGGCGGUUUGUCGCGUCUGCCGUGAAAAUCCGGGGCUCAACUCCGGACUUGCGGUGGGUACGGGCAGACUAGAGUGUGGUAGGGGAGACUGGAAUUCCUGGUGUAGCGGUGAAAUGCGCAGAUAUCAGGAGGAACACCGAUGGCGAAGGCAGGUCUCUGGGCCACUACUGACGCUGAGAAGCGAAAGCGUGGGGAGCGAACAGGAUUAGAUACCCUGGUAGGCUCUGC